CCAGCAUCAUUUUCUUUUCCAAAAUUCAAAUCCGAAAAACAAUCGAAGUCAAGCCUUCUUCAUUUAACCUUUCUAAGAGACUGCAGAGUGAGGAUGAGUAAAGAAAUUAUAGAGUUCAUCUUUCAUCUUUUCCAACAUACUUCAGAAGAAGACAAAAACAGCAAAGCCACAUACUCUUAAGAACAAGGCUAGGCUUAACCACAGGCAUCCUGACCUCAAGUCCUGUGUCAAAGUUCCACCUACAAUGUGGCCCCACAGGGCUAAUCCUUGACAGAAACACUGGAAGGAUUUCUUCUCUGCAAAACUACCCUCUUCCUUCACGCUGAAUCAUCAGAAAGAGGAGCCGGCUGCAUCCCUAAAUUCAUCCCUUAUUUUAAUUAACCCAAGGAUGACAUGGAGGCCUUGGAGACCCUAUACAGUGCUGUGUGUUCAGCAGUAAAUAUCCACCCAUUGUAGUCAGGAGCCAGCAUCUUCAUCAUCCUUUCUUGUUAGAACAAACUUGUCCAACCCAUGGCCCAUGGGCCACAUGUGGCCUAGGACGGCUUUGAAUGCGGCCCAACACAAAUUUGUAAAGUUUCUUAAAACAUUAGGAGAUUUUUUUGUGAUUUUUUUAAGCUCAUCAGCUAUUGUGUUAGAGUAUUUUAUGUGUGGCCCAAGACAAUUCUUCUUCUUCCAAUGUGGCCCAGGGAAGCCGAAAGAUCGGACACCCCUAUGUUAGAACACCAAGGUCUAUUACUUUGAAGUUGUUAUCCUGGAUUACCAAUCAGAAUUUGUGUUUUCACCAUUACUAAGCCUACUCUUUAAUUCUCUCAAUCAUCUCUGCUCUAAGAGAUAAGGAAUGGCAGGAAUUAUUAAGAGUGAGAGGUUCUGAAAAUCUGGUUGGUUUAUUUUAGAGUUCUAUGAAGUAUUCAUUUCCUCCUUGUACCACCCCCCUUUGUUUACAAGUGAGUAUCCCUCUGUUGCUCUCCUUUGGCACAAAUAUUCAGAUGAAAAACAUCCACAUAAAUGAGCGGUGUCUUAAUCUGAAGAAAUGUGCUCUGCAUCCCAUCAAUAGGAGCUCUAAUUCCCCUAUGGUUCAGGACACUCCAGUGACUCAAAUGACCUUUCUGCCAAAGGAUCUGCAUCACUUCCUUUGUUCCUGUUCUACAUAAUAUGGAAUUACAAUAAUGUGAAUAAUUUUUCUUUUAUAAAAAAACCCCACGAAACACAGGAAAUCUAUCAAAAACAGUUUUGACAAUUGAGAAAAUCACAUUUUAAUCUGUUUAAUUAAACACAGUGAAAUUUCUUUUCUGCCA
rnacentral:lncRNA from 10 species